rnacentral:rRNA from 1 species
AUUGAACGCUGGCGGCAUGCUUUACACAUGCAAGUCGGACGGCAGCACAGAGAAGCUUGCUUCUUGGGUGGCGAGUGGCGAACGGGUGAGUAACAUAUCGGAACGUACCGAGUAAUGGGGGAUAACUAAUCGAAAGAUUAGCUAAUACCGCAUAUUCUCUGAGGAGGAAAGCAGGGGACCUUUUGGCCUUGCGUUAUUCGAGCGGCCGAUAUCUGAUUAGCUAGUUGGUGGGGUAAAGGCCUACCAAGGCGACGAUCAGUAGCGGGUCUGAGAGGAUGAUCCGCCACACUGGGACUGAGACACGGCCCAGACUCCUACGGGAGGCAGCAGUGGGGAAUUUUGGACAAUGGGCGCAAGCCUGAUCCAGCCAUGCCGCGUGUCUGAAGAAGGCCUUCGGGUUGUAAAGGACUUUUGUCAGGGAAGAAAGGGCUGUUGCUAAUAUCGACAGCUGAUGACGGUACCUGAAAAAUAAGCACCGGCUAACUACGCGCCACCAGCCGCGGUAAUACGUAGGGUGCGAGCGUUAAUCGGAAUUACUGGGCGUAAAGCGAGCGCAGACGGUUACUUAAGCAGGAUGUGAAAUCCCCGGGCUCAACCUGGGAACUGCGUUCUGCACUGGGUGACUACAAGCGUGGCAGAGGAUGGUAGAAAUCCACCUGAAGCACUGAAAUGCUUCAGAUGUGGUGGAGACCGAUCGCUGAAGGAAGCCGCCUGCGAUAC